AUGAAUGGGAAACACUAUAUAUAUAUAUAUAAUAUAUAUAUAUAUAUAUACACAUAGUGUUUCCCAUUCAUC
rnacentral:miRNA from 1 species